rnacentral:rRNA from 1 species
ACGCUCGACACCUACGGAGGCAGCAGUGGGGAAUAUUGCACAAUGGAGGAAACUCUGAUGCAGCGACGCCGCGUGAGCGAAGAAGUAUUUCGGUAUGUAAAGCUCUAUCAGCAGGGAAGAAAAAGGACGGUACCUGACUAAGAAGCUCCGGCUAAAUACGUGCCAACAGCCGCGGUAAUCUGAGCGGGCUGGCAAGGC